rnacentral:rRNA from 1 species
CGAACGCUGGCGGCGUGCUUAACACAUGCAAGUCGAACGGAAAGGCCCUGCUUUUGUGGGGUGCUCGAGUGGCGAACGGGUGAGUAACACGUGAGUAACCUGCCCUUGACUUUGGGAUAACUUCAGGAAACUGGGGCUAAUACCGGAUAGGAGCUCCUGCUGCAUGGUGGGGGUUGGAAAGUUUCGGCGGUUGGGGAUGGACUCGCGGCUUAUCAGCUUGUUGGUGGGGUAGUGGCUUACCAAGGCUUUGACGGGUAGCCGGCCUGAGAGGGUGACCGGCCACAUUGGGACUGAGAUACGGCCCAGACUCCUACGGGAGGCAGCAGUGGGGAAUAUUGUACAAUGGGCGGAAGCCUGAUGCAGCAACGCCGCGUGCGGGAUGACGGCCUUCGGGUUGUAAACCGCUUUCGCCUGUGACGAAGCGUGAGUGACGGUAAUGGGUAAAGAAGCACCGGCUAACUACGUG